CACCCACCAGGAAAGGACAUUUCGAGUCCAUUCGCGCUUAAAAGAUCCCCCUCCACCCCGACCCCCGGCUUUGAAAUAAUUUCAGUGAAACCAAGAUUUCCAGCUCCUUGGAUGGUACAGAGCCCUCCUUGGUGCAGCCAAGGGAGAACAAGUCACAGCAGGGGAUGAAGGACUACAGCUAAGGAAUUCCGCAGACUGAGGGAAAACUUGGGGAAAACCAUGCAGCAAAGUGACAGAUGUGAACACGGCUCCCGGGUCUCAGUGCACGUUCCUGGGGAAAAAAAAAAAAAAAAAAAAAAAAAAAAA